UACGAAGGGAGCUAGCGUUGUUCGGAAUCACUGGGCGUAAAGCGCACGUAGGCGGAUGUGUCAGUCAGGGGUGAAAUCCCGGAGCUCAACUUCGGAACUGCCUUUGAUACAGCACGUCUUGAGUCCGAUAGAGGUGGGUGGAAUUCCUGGUGUAGCGGUGAAAUGCGCAGAUAUCAGGAGGAACACCCGUGGCGAAAGCGGCUCUCUGGGACGGUACUGACGCUGAGACGCGAAAGCGUGGGGAGCAAACAGG
rnacentral:rRNA from 1 species